UGGAUCCAGACUUUGAUCCUGGCUCAGGACGAACGCUGGCGGCGCGCCUAACACAUGCAAGUCGAACGGGGUGCGUCCGAAUGAAAUUUUCGGAUGGAAUUUGGAUGUACCUAGUGGCGAACGGGUGAGUAACACGUGAAUAACCUGCCCUGGAGUGGGGGACAACAGUUGGAAACGACUGCUAAUACCGCAUAAGCCCACAGAGCCGCAUGGCUCAGGGGGAAAAGGAGCAAUUCGCUUCAGGAUGGAUUCGCGUCCAAUUAGCUAGAUGGUGAGGUAACGGCCCACCAUGGCAACGAUUGGUAGCCGGACUGAGAGGUUGAUCGGCCACAUUGGGACUGAGACACGGCCCAGACUCCUACGGGAGGCAGCAGUGGGGAAUAUUGCACAAUGGGGGAAACCCUGAUGCAGCGACGCCGCGUGGAGGAAGAAGGUCUUCGGAUUGUAAACUCCUGUCGUUGGGGACGAUAAUGACGGUACCCAACAAGAAAGCCACGGCUAACUACGUGCCAGCAGCCGCGGUAAAACGUAGGUGGCAAGCGUUGUCCGGAAUUACUGGGUGUAAAGGGAGCGCAGGCGGAAGGACAAGUUGGAAGUGAAACCCACGGGCUCAACCCGUGAACUGCUUUCAAAACUGUUUUUCUUGAGUGGUGUAGAGGUAGGCGGAAUUCCCGGUGUAGCGGUGGAAUGCGUAGAUAUCGGGAGGAACACCAGUGGCGAAGGCGGCCUACUGGGCACUAACUGACGCUGAGGCUCGAAAGCAUGGGUAGCAAACAGGAUUAGAUACCCUGGUAGUCCAUGCCGUAAACAUGAUUACUAGGUGUGGGAGGAUUGACCCCUUCCGUGCCGCAGUUAACACAAUAAGUAAUCCACCUGGGGAGUACGACCGCAAGGUUGCAACUCAAAGGGAAUUGACGGAA
rnacentral:rRNA from 1 species